AACGAACGCUGGCGGCAUGCCUAACACAUGCAAGUCGAACGAGACCUUCGGGUCUAGUGGCGCACGGGUGCGUAACGCGUGGGAACCUGCCCUUAGGUUCGGAAUAACUCCCCGAAAGGGGUGCUAAUACCGGAUGAUGUCUUCGGACCAAAGAUUUAUCGCCUUUGGAUGGGCCCGCGUUGGAUUAGCUAGUUGGUAGGGUAAAAGCCUACCAAGGCGACGAUCCAUAGCUGGUCUGAGAGGAUGAUCAGCCACACUGGGACUGAGACACGGCCCAGACUCCUACGGGAGGCAGCAGUGGGGAAUAUUGGACAAUAGGCGAAAGCCUGAUCCAGCAAUGCCGCGUGAGUGAUGAAGGCCUUAGGGUUGUAAAGCUCUUUUACCCGGGAUGAUAAUGACAGUACCGGGAGAAUAAGCUCCGGCUAACUCCGUG
rnacentral:rRNA from 1 species